UUCUUGGAGAGAUCUUGAGGAUGAGCAGCCCACUCUGGCCAGAGGGAGCCCCUCUGCCUUUGCGGAUCCUCUCUGGGGUGCCCAGUACAGUGGGGCUCAGUCCUGCCUGGCCUGGGGCAGGGUGGGGUUCAGGUUCAAUCUCAGAGUAGCCCUUUGCCUGCCUUUCUGGGAAGUUGAGGCUAAGUGUCCAGA